rnacentral:rRNA from 1 species
UACAGAGGUCCCCAAGCGUUGUUCGGAUUCACUGGGCGUAAAGGGCGUGUAGGCGGUCAGGUAAGUGGGAUGUGAAAUGCCCCGGCUCACCCGGGGACCGGCAUCCUAAACUGCCUGGCUUGAGUAUGGGAGAGGAUGAGGGAAUUCCUGGUGUAGCGGUGAAAUGCGUAGAUGUCAGGAGGAACACCGGUAGCGAAGGCGCUCAUCUGGCCCAAUACUGACGCUGAGGCGCGAAAGCUAGGGGAGCAAACGGGAUUAGAUACCC